AUGGAGGUAGAGAAGAAGUCGAAGGAUGAGUUACAUCUCAAGAUUAAGAGUAAGGACAAGUCCUCGGUGAAUGAGGAGGACGAGAAGGAGAUCGAGAUAGAAAUCGACGCCAAGGUUGUGGAGAAGGAAGAGGUGUCCAGUGAUGGUUCAAAGUCUGCAGGCAAAGUUAAGGAAACCAAAAAAGAAGGGAAAAACAAGUCAGAGAAGCAUGUAGAUGAACAUGAAGACGAUCAGAAGGCGAGUAAGAAGAAGGAAAAUAAGGCAGAGAAACAUGAAGAUGGUAAGAAGGAAAAGAAGUUAGAGAAGCAUGAAGAUGACGGGAAGACUAGUAAGAAGGAUAGAAAGGAGAAGGAUGAGAAAAAGAAAGAAGAUGGCGAAGGCUCAGAAAAGGAGAAGGCCAAGAAAGGGAAAGAUAAGAAGAGCGAGAGCAAAGAGAAGGAUAAAAUUAGCGUCAAGGAGACUGGAGCUGAUGCAGAUGACAGUAGCCCCAAGAACAAAAAGAAGGAUAAGGACAAGGCAAAGAAGAAGGAUGAAAGCGAUGAAAAACAAGAGAAAGACAAAGAGAAGGAGGAACAUGAGAACAAGAAGAAGCAUGUAGAAGUGGGUCAGGCAAGAGAAAUCAAGCUACAAGAUAAUGAGUCGGCGAAGAAAGAAACUGAUGCUUCUGAAGAGAAGAAGGAUGGCACGGACAAAGCAAAGGAUAAAAGAAAGAGAGACAGUGCGAAGAAGCAAGAUGAACAUAAGGAAAUCGGUGACAAGGACGAACAAGGUAACAAGAAAGAUACAGAGAAGAAGGACAAGAAGAAAGAUAAAACCGACAAGAAGGGGGAAGGCAAGAAGAAGGAUGGCGAUGAUGAGAAGGAAGAAGGUAAGAAGGACAAAGAAGCGAAGGAGAAGAAGAAAGAUAAGACCGACAAGGAAGAAACUAAGAAGAAAAAGAAGGAUGGUGAGGAUGGGGAGGAAGAAGGUAAGAAGAAAGACAAAGAGAAGAUCGACGCAAAGUUACAAGACCUACAUGCUGAAAAGGAAGACAUCCUAAGGCAGCUGAAGGAGCUCGAAGAGGGAAUGACCACUGAAGAGAAGAAGCCUGUACAGAUAGUGGAAGCGAGUGGCAAGGCCAAGUCCAAGGAAGAUGAUCUUGUUACUGCACCCUGA
rnacentral:rRNA from 1 species